CGGAAUUGAACCGGCAACCGGCAGCCAAGUGUGAGAAUUAAGCAUCAGCCAUUCACAGGGCUUUGUGGGGAAAGUGGUAACCCGGUAGUGAUCAGAACGAAAGGUUGCCGGUUCAAUUCCGGCCAGCUCGCAACUUUUUUCUCAUUCUUGGUUCAAUUGGCUUUUCAAAAUUCAAUGAGUUUCCUUCUCAUCUUCCUCACUUAAUUCACUCAUUACCGCAAUUUUCAAAUCAAUGUUUACAAUAUACUUCAGCGGUUCUCCUUUCCAAAUUUACGAUUCGAUGCUUUGAGACGGGGUGAAGAGGAUGAAAUAUCCCUCCCGUCUUAAAAAAUACGCAUCAGCCAAGUGUGAGAAUUAAGCAUCAGCCAUUCACAGGGCUUUGUGGGGAAAGUGGUAACCCGGUAGUGAUCAGAACGAAAGGUUGCCGGUUCGAUUCCGGCCAGCUCGCAACUUUUUUCUCAUUCUUGGUUCAAUUGGCUUUUCAAAAUUCAAUGAGUUUCCUUCUCAUCUUCCUCACUUAAUUCACUCAUUACCGCAAUUUUCAAAUCAAUGUUUACAAUAUACUUCAGCGGUUCUCCUUUCCAAAUUUACGAUUCGAUGCUUUGAGACGGGGUGAAGAGGAUGAAAUAUCCCUCCCGUCUUAAAAAAUACGCAUCAGCCAAGUGUGAGAAUUAAGCAUCAGCCAUUCACAGGGCUUUGUGGGGAAAGUGGUAACCCGGUAGUGAUCAGAACGAAAGGUUGCCGGUUCGAUUCCGGCCAGCUCGCAACUUUUUUCUCAUUCUUGGUUCAAUUGGCUUUUCAAAAUUCAAUGAGUUUCCUUCUCAUCUUCCUCACUUAAUUCACUCAUUACCGCAAUUUUCAAAUCAAUGUUUACAAUAUACUUCAGCGGUUCUCCUUUCCAAAUUUACGAUUCGAUGCUUUGAGACGGGGUGAAGAGGAUGAAAUAUCCCUCCCGUCUUAAAAAAUACGCAUCAGCCAAGUGUGAGAAUUAAGCAUCAGCCAUUCACAGGGCUUUGUGGGGAAAGUGGUAACCCGGUAGUGAUCAGAACGAAAGGUUGCCGGUUCGAUUCCGGCCAGCUCGCAACUUUUUUCUCAUUCUUGGUUCAAUUGGCUUUUCAAAAUUCAAUGAGUUUCCUUCUCAUCUUCCUCACUUAAUUCACUCAUUACCGCAAUUUUCAAAUCAAUGUUUACAAUAUACUUCAGCGGUUCUCCUUUCCAAAUUUACGAUUCGAUGCUUUGAGACGGGGUGAAGAGGAUGAAAUAUCCCUCCCGUCUUAAAAAAUACGCAUCAGCCAAGUGUGAGAAUUAAGCAUCAGCCAUUCACAGGGCUUUGUGGGGAAAGUGGUAACCCGGUAGUGAUCAGAACGAAAGGUUGCCGGUUCGAUUCCGGCCAGCUCGCAACUUUUUUCUCAUUCUUGGUUCAAUUGGCUUUUCAAAAUUCAAUGAGUUUCCUUCUCAUCUUCCUCACUUAAUUCACUCAUUACCGCAAUUUUCAAAUCAAUGUUUACAAUAUACUUCAGCGGUUCUCCUUUCCAAAUUUACGAUUCGAUGCUUUGAGACGGGGUGAAGAGGAUGAAAUAUCCCUCCCGUCUUAAAAAAUACGCAUCAGCCAAGUGUGAGAAUUAAGCAUCAGCCAUUCACAGGGCUUUGUGGGGAAAGUGGUAACCCGGUAGUGAUCAGAACGAAAGGUUGCCGGUUCGAUUCCGGCCAGCUCGCAACUUUUUUCUCAUUCUUGGUUCAAUUGGCUUUUCAAAAUUCAAUGAGUUUCCUUCUCAUCUUCCUCACUUAAUUCACUCAUUACCGCAAUUUUCAAAUCAAUGUUUACAAUAUACUUCAGCGGUUCUCCUUUCCAAAUUUACGAUUCGAUGCUUUGAGACGGGGUGAAGAGGAUGAAAUAUCCCUCCCGUCUUAAAAAAUACGCAUCAGCCAAGUGUGAGAAUUAAGCAUCAGCCAUUCACAGGGCUUUGUGGGGAAAGUGGUAACCCGGUAGUGAUCAGAACGAAAGGUUGCCGGUUCGAUUCCGGCCAGCUCGCAACUUUUUUCUCAUUCUUGGUUCAAUUGGCUUUUCAAAAUUCAAUGAGUUUCCUUCUCAUCUACCCCUUCCCCAUGUCUAUUUAUCACCAGGGGCACCAGGUCAUCUCUACGCAGGAAUAAACGAAUCCCUCGCUGAUGCCAUCGACAACUUGAAACCAGGCGCUAAACAGAAAAUAAUUUCAAGAUCUCAUACACCUACAACAACUGCAGUUAUCAGGAGUGCCGUCGGCAACAUAAGUAGCGAUCGGGACGGGAUCGUUAUAUGGCGACCAAAUCCCAGUAAAGAAGAGAGAAACGUCCUCAGCACAAUCUCCUCUCAUUUGGAUUUGUCUCCUAUUCAGGAUGCCACGUGGAAAAAGAUGGUCAAAAUUACUGCAAAGAAGGAGUCUGUCCUCCAUAAAGUGUUGUUCGUCCUAGAGAUGAUAGAAGCAAGGACAGUCGACGGCCAUUUAGUUCGUGUUGAGAAUCGAGCCUCUGCUAUCGUUGACAAAUAUGAUGGGGAAGACGAUUUAUUUUUCAAGGAAUGUGCUGAAUUCAUAACGGGAUUGCAAUUCACAAAGAAUGUGACCCAAGUUGCCGACGGCCAUAAAUGGAACCACGUUCUGAAUUGGUCAUCAAUAGCUGGGAUGGCAAACACUACCGUAGUUGAAUACUGAACAGCCGACGGCAUAGAUUGAACACUGGAAUUGACAACGGACUUUUCAUAGGAAUGGGAUUUUCAACCUGGACUAAUUUGUUAUUUUUAGCUGUAGAGAUAAUUAACUCCAGCAUAAGUAUUGCAUAAUAAAUAUUUGUGGCUUA